ensembl:snoRNA
ACCCUCCAGUUCCCUUUCCCAUUGGAUCAAAACACUGGGCUGGGUGGUCAUAGGAGGAGGAAAAGAAGCAUUGAAGCUGCCCCUUGGUGCUCCUCGAGCUCAGGCUCCUUUCAAACAGGG